rnacentral:lncRNA from 10 species
UCUUGUUCUGUUCAAGCCAGUUCAGAUAGCUGACCCUUCAACUGGGCCUACAAGGGUGCCCCAACAGUGACUUUUGACAGCAGAGGUCCAAAACUCCACCCUCAAGUUAUGCUAAAGCCAUCAUUUUCUUCACAUGAGUCCUGUGAAGAGCCAUACAGCUCACUUAUGCUUGCACAGAAACCUGAUUCCCUCACCUUUCCUACCACACAAUCACAUUUCCUCACACUUUAGACCACCUUGCUUCCUAUCCCAGAAGUACCCCCAAGCCCUAUGUUCAGGGAGAGGAUUUGAGAUUUGUUCUUCUGUCUCCCAGC